rnacentral:rRNA from 1 species
GGUAAUACCGGCGGCUCGAGUGGUGGCCACUAUUACUGGGCUUAAAGCGUCCGUAGCUGGAUUGUUAAGUCUCUUGGGAAAUCCACCGGCUCAACCGAUGGGCGUUCAGGAGAAACUGGCAAUCUAGGGACCGGGAGAGGUGAGAGGUACUCCAGGGGUAGGAGUGAAAUCCUGUAAUCCUUGGGGGACCACCUGUGGCGAAGGCGUCUCACUAGAACGGCUCCGACAGUGAGGGACGAAAGCUGGGGGAGCAAACCGGAUUAGAUACCCGGGUAGUCCCAGCUGUAAACGAUGCGCGUUAGGUGUAUCGGUGACCACGAGUCAUCGAGGUGCCGAAGGGAAACCGUGAAACGUGCCGC